rnacentral:rRNA from 1 species
UAGGGAAUAUUGCGCAAUGGACGGAAGUCUGACGCAGCGACGCCGCGUGAGCGAUGAAGGCCUUCGGGUCGUAAAGCUCUGUCCUUGGGGAAGAAGGUCUUCGGACUUGACGGUACCCAAGAAGAAAGCCCCGGCUAACUACGUGCCAGCAGCCGCGGUAAUACGUAGGGGGCGAGCGUUGUCCGGAAUUACUGGGCGUAAAGGGUGCGUAGGCGGCCCUUUAAGUCAGAUGUGAAAGCCCGCAGCUUAACUGCGGAAUUGCAUUUGAAACUGGAGGGCUUGAGUGUCGGAGAGGGUAGUGGAAUUCCCAGUGUAGCGGUGAAAUGCGUAGAUAUUGGGAGGAACACCAGUGGCGAAGGCGACUGCCUGGACGAUAACUGACGCUGAGGCACGAAAGCUA